UACGGAGGGUGCAAGCGUUAAUCGGAAUUACUGGGCGUAAAGCGCGCGUAGGCGGCUUUGUAAGUCGGAUGUGAAAGCCCCGGGCUUAACCUGGGAAUUGCAUUCGAUACUGCAUAGCUAGAGUAUGGUAGAGGGUAGCGGAAUUCCGGGUGUAGCGGUGAAAUGCGUAGAUAUCCGGAGGAACACCAGUGGCGAAGGCGGCUACCUGGACAGUUACUGACGCUGAGACGCGAAAGCGUGGGGAGCAAACAGG
rnacentral:rRNA from 1 species